rnacentral:lncRNA from 1 species
AUCAGUUUGUCCACUUUCAAAAGUAACGUACCUGAGAGUUCGGCUACUAUACUCUUAUGAGUACGAUCACCUUCGUACUCAUAAGUCGUUUUCAAUGAUAGAGUUUCCGAAUCGACAAUCUAUAUCGUUAAACAUUAUCUAAAACAUUUAAAACUUCUAGAAAUCAAAUUUUAUAAUUUUUUUGACAUCAUUUACCUUACGAUCAAAAGAUCACAAAAUUGACAAUUUUUAACGGCCGGUAUGGAAUGCUUGGUAGUUUAACGGUGUAAAUAAUCGGAAUAUGUUGAAAUUUUUAUAGAAAAUUUUAUUCAUUACUUAGAUAAAGAUCAAUAACUCUGAUUUUAAAUUGAAUGAUCCGAUCGUCUAUUUUUAGGACGUCGUUCGAUUUUGACCGUUCAUUU